AUUUCAACAAAAAAAAAAAACAGUUUUCAUCCUUGAUAAUAAGAAUAACAAUCAUAAAUGUUUCUCUCAAACCCUAAUCCUUCCCUUACCCUAUAGUAAGUAUUGUGGUGGGGUGAAGUAGGACAUGGCACGAGAAGGUGGGUAAAUUCCCCGAAGGGUGGAUUUAUUAAAUGGAUCCGUGUGAGAGCUGAUGGUGCUGUGAGGUGGUUCGGGUGUUCGGUGCUCGGCGUCCUGUCUUGGAAGUGCUCUAGUGCAGUGUGGGUCCGUGCUCUCCGGUGGUGUUGGGACUGGCGGUCACACACUGCUGUCUAGGGCAUAAGGAAAAGACAAUGUUAGCCAAUUCUCGUGGAGACAUCUCUCACCUCUGUGCCCGCUUACGGGGUUAAUAUGGACAGCGGCUGAUGACACGCAGGUGUGACUGCUCAGCCCUUGAUGAGUAGGCGCAGGUGUGUCUGUGCCAUUGCCAGGGCGAUGCUGAUGAGCGCUCGGGACACGUGUCACACUCUCGCCCCCCCCCCACUGGUCUUCCUAUUCCUCUGGAGCAGUGGGAAGAUCGCGGGAGGGUGGGGAGUCUGUCAGCAUUGGCGUUGGCCGCCCCCGCCCGAUGUUGUAGGGUGAAGUUAAAGUCCUGGAGCGCCAGGAACCACCGCGUCACUCUGGCGUUGGUCUCCUUUGCCCGGGCCAUCCACUGCAGGGGAGCGCGGUCCGUGAGGAGGGUGAAGUGGCGACCGAGGAGGUAAUAACGGAGCUCCAGGACUGCUCACUUGACGGCCAACUCUCUACGGUGGCGUACCGCUGUUCUGCGGGGGUCAGCUUUCAGGCUGAUGAACAUCACCGGGUGUUCCUCACCGUCAUGGCCCUGCGUCAAGACGGCUCCCAACCCGGUGUCGGACGGGUCGGUUUGCAGCUGGAAGGGGCGGUUGAAGUCGGGGUCACAGAGGACCGGUUCCGUCAUCAGGGCAGCCUUGAUCUUUAGAAAUGCAGCUUCUGUUCCGGGGUUCCACACGACUUUCUCCGGCUGCCCCUUCCUGGCCAGGUCUGUCAGGGGAGAAGCUAAAGAGGAGAAGUUACGGAUGAAGCAGCGAUAAUAUCCCGCCAACCCCAAAAAGGCCCGUACCUGUGUCUUAGAGGUGGGCCGUGGCGCAGAGAGGAUAGCUGCCACCUUCUCCUGAGGUCCUCGCAGGAGGUGGUUAGCUCCGGGGGAGCGCGAAGUAUGCACGCUGAGCCUCUCCCGUGAGCAGGGGUGCAAUGAUGCGGGCCCAAUCUUCUUUGGGCCACGCCUCCCUCAUAGCAACAGUCUCAAACAUCUGAAGGUACAUCGUUACGUCAUCAUGGGUGGUCAUCCUGGGCAGCAGCUGGGUUGCUUGGACACGGGUGUCAGGUAGCGGAGUUCGCGGGGCUGCGGUCAGGCAGAGCGCAGCCAACUCUCCCUCGGUUUCCCCCUGCUGGGCAUCCAUGUGUUCUAUGAUUUUUUUGCUGGCGGAUGCUCACCUCGGUGAGAUGUUUUAUCAGCUCUUCCAUCGUCGGGGGAGGAGCGCCACCUGUGGAACCAGAGAAGG